rnacentral:rRNA from 1 species
UACAGAGGUCUCAAGCGUUGUUCGGAUUCAUUGGGCGUAAAGGGUGCGCAGGCGGCGAGGCAAGUCGGACGUGAAAUCCCGGGGCUUAACCCGGAACUGCGUUCGAUACUGCCUUGCUUGAGGACUGGAGAGGAGACGUGGAAUUCCUGGUGUAGCAGUGAAAUGCGUAGAUAUCAGGAGGAACGCCAAUGGCGAAGGCAAGUCUCUGGACAGUUCCUGACGC